UACGUAGGGUGCGAGCGUUGUCCGGAAUUAUUGGGCGUAAAGAGCUCGUAGGCGGUCUGUCGCGUCUGCUGUGAAAACUCGGGGCUUAACCCCGGGCCUGCAGUGGGUACGGGCAGACUAGAGUGCGGUAGGGGAGACUGGAAUUCCUGGUGUAGCGGUGGAAUGCGCAGAUAUCAGGAGGAACACCGGUGGCGAAGGCGGAUCUCUGGGCCAUAACUGACGCUGAGGAGCGAAAGCAUGGGGAGCGAACAGG
rnacentral:rRNA from 1 species